rnacentral:rRNA from 1 species
AUUGAACGCUGGCGGCAUGCCUUACACAUGCAAGUCGAACGGCAGCGGACCUUCGGGUGCCGGCGAGUGGCGAACGGGUGAGUAAUAUAUCGGAACGUACCUUUCAGUGGGGAUAACGUAGCGAAAGUUACGCUAAUACCGCAUAUUCUGUGAGCAGGAGAGCAGGGGGAUCGCAAGACCUUGCGCUGAUUGAGCGGCCGAUAUCAGAUUAGCUAGUUGGUGAGGUAAAGGCUCACCAAGGCGACGAUCUGUAGCGGGUCUGAGAGGAUGAUCCGCCACACUGGAACUGAGACACGGUCCAGACUCCUACGGGAGGCAGCAGUGGGGAAUUUUGGACAAUGGGCGCAAGCCUGAUCCAGCCAUGCCGCGUGAGUGAAGAAGGCC